GACGAACGCUGGCGGCGGGCUUAACACAUGCAAGUCGAACGGAAAGGCCCUGCUUUUGUGGGGUGCUCGAGUGGCGAACGGGUGUGUAACACGGGAGUAACCUGCCCUGUACUUUGGGAUAACUUCAGGAAACUGGUGCUAAUACAGGAUAGGAGCUCCUGCUGCAUGGUGGGGGUUGGAAAGUUUCGGCGGAUGGGGAUGGACUCGCGGCUUAUCAGCUUGUGGGUGGGGUAGUGGCUUACCAAGGCUUUGGCGGGUAGGCGGCCUGAGAGGGUGAGCGGGCACAUUGGGACUGAGAUACGGCCCAGAGUCCUACGGGAGGCAGUAGUGGGGAAUAUUGCACAAUGGGCGGAAGCCUGAUGCAGCAACGCCGCGUGCGGGAUGACGGCCUUCGGGUUGUAAACCGCUUUAGCCUGUGACGAAGCGUGAGUGACGGUAAUGGGUAAAGAAGCACCGGCUAACUACGUG
rnacentral:rRNA from 1 species